AACGAACGCUGGCGGCAUGCCUAACACAUGCCAGUCGAACGAGACCUUCGGGUCUAGUGGCGCACGGGUGCGUAACGCGUGGGAACCUGCCCUUAGGUUCGGAAUAACUCCCCGAAAGGGGUGCUAAUACCGGAUAAUGUCUUCGGACCAAAGAUUUAUCGCCUUUGGAUGGGCCCGCGUUGGAUUAGCUAGUUGGUAGGGUAAAAGCCUACCAAGGCGACGAUCCAUAGCUGGUCUGAGAGGAUGAUCAGCCACACUGGGACUGAGACACGGCCCAGACUCCUACGGGAGGCAGCAGUGGGGAAUAUUGGACAAUGGGCGAAAGCCUGAUCCAGCAAUGCCACGUGAGUGAUGAAGGCCUUAGGGUUGUAAAGCUCUUUUACCCGGGAUGAUAAUGACAGUACCGGGAGAAUAAGCUCCGGCUAACUCCGUG
rnacentral:rRNA from 1 species